rnacentral:rRNA from 1 species
AGAACGGCUCUAGCUUGCUAGAGUGUCAGCUAAGUGGCGCACGGGUGAGUAACGCAUAGGUGUACGUACCUUGUAGUCUGGGAUAACAGUUGGAAACGACUGCUAAUACCGGAUAUUCCCUCAGGGGGAAAGAUUUAUUGCUACAAGAUCGGCCUAUGUCCUAUCAGCUUGUUGGUAAGGUAAUGGCUUACCAAGGCGACGAUCAGUAUCUGGUUUGAGAGGACGAUCAGACACACUGGAACUGAGACACGGUCCAGACUCCUACGGGAGGCAGCAGUGGGGAAUUUUCCGCAAUGGGCGAAAGCCUGACGGAGCAAUACCGCGUGAGGGAUGACGGCCUAUGGGUUGUAAACCUCUUUUUUCAGGGAGGAACAAAAUGACGUGUACCUGAAGAAUAAGCAUCGGCUAACUCCGUGCCAGCAGCCGCGGUAAGACGGAGGAUGCAAGUGUUAUCCGGAAUCACUGGGCGUAAAGCGUCUGUAGGUGGUUUAAUAAGUCAACUGUUAAAUCUUGAGGCUCAACCUCGAAAUCGCAGUCGAAACUAUUAGACUAGAGUAUAGUAGGGGUAAAGGGAAUUUCCAGUGGAGCGGUGAAAUGCGUAGAGAUUGGAAAGAACACCGAUGGCGAAGGCACUUUACUGGGCUAUUACUAACACUGAGAGACGAAAGCUAGGGUAGCAAAUGGGAUUAGAUACCCUGGUA